ACCGUGCAAAGGUAGCAUAAUCAUUUGCCUAUUAAUUGUAGGCUAGUAUGAAUGGACAAACGUGAACUUUACUGUCUCCUCUAAGUAAUUAAAACUUUAUAUCCAAGUGAAGAAGCUUAGAUACACUCGCAGGACAAGAAGACCCUAUAGAGCUUUACCACUAACCUUAGACUAUAAGCUAAUUGGUUCGGUUGGGGCGACCAAGGAAUACAAAACAUCCUUAAACAUAUUAGAUAUACUAAUCACAUUAAAGAUCCUUAUUAAAGAUCACUGGAACAAGCUACCUUAGGGAUAACAGGCUAAUUCCUCUAGAGAGCCCUUAUUGACAGAGGAGG
rnacentral:rRNA from 1 species